UACAGAGGUCUCAACCGUUGUUCGGAUUCAUUGGGCGUAAAGGGUGCGUAGGCGGUCGCGCAAGUCGGAUGUGAAAUCUCAGGGCUCAACCCUGAAACUGCAUUCGAUACUGCGUGGCUAGAGUGCUGGAGAGGAGACUGGAAUUUACGGUGUAGCAGUGAAAUGCGUAGAUAUCGUAAGGAACAUCAGUGGCGAAGGCGGCUUUCUGGACCAAUACUGACGAUCAGGUGCGAAAGCGUGGGGAGCAAACAGG
rnacentral:rRNA from 1 species